ACCCUCCAGACCCCUACAUCUUAGAUCUUAACAUCGGUCCGAGUGGCUAAAGAAGGGAGGAAAAGUACAACUGAAGUGACUGAGAUUCUUUGGUGACAUACAAGUUCAUUCCUAACACAU
rnacentral:snoRNA from 1 species